rnacentral:lncRNA from 1 species
AGUGCGGCUUCCCACUAGGCGCGUGGUACCCGAGGCCGGGCCGGAGCCGCAGGCCAGCCGCGAUUCCUUCGGGCGAUGCUGGGGGCUUUCCGGUCGGGGCCGCAGCCGCUUCCGGAGCCGCGGGCGAGGUGCAAGCGGUCUUCUCUGUCUUCUUUAUGGCCAGUAAAAUUCUCCAGAAGAGAUUUAUGGCAGCCUCACUCCCAGUAGUUUCUGCAUUUAGUGAGAUAAGAUGGAAUCUUGCUCUCUUGCUCAGACUGGAGUGCAGUGGCAUGACCUUGGCUCACUGCAACCUCACCUCUCGGGUUCAAGCGAUUCUGCCUCAGCCUCUCGAGUAGCUGGGACUACAGGUGGGAGACCUCCACAGAACCCUUCCAGCAAGCUGUCUUCUAAAGCAAACAAGAAAAGGAAAGUCUGAGCAGUUUUGAUUAGAUUUCCCAGAAGUCAAAGCAAGGAAAAAUGAAAAAGCUUCAUUUCUCACGUUCUUAAAAGAGAGCACAGAUGUUGCAUCAUCUGGUUAGAUACCCUGAGAAUAAAAUCUGGAUCCAGUGAGAGGAAAGAUUCUGGGUGCUCAUGAAAAAAGAAACAAAACAAAACUUGGGAGCCUCUUGAGAGUGUACAGCAUCAGCCCUUGCCAACUCUUGUUUAUAUGCAUUUAACUUUCAGUUAACCAUGGGAAUAAUUCAUGAAAAUCCAAUCUACAAACAAAGGCCAUCCUAACGUUCAUGUUAUUCUUUUCCCUAAGAAUCUUUCACAAGAGCUAUAAUCAAGUAGAAUUAUGCUUUGAUUUGAAUUCUAAUUCAAUUGAAAAUAAAAAAUGAGGGCCGGACGCGGUGGCUCAUGCCUGUAAUCCCAGCGCUUUGGGAGGCUGAGGUGGACGGAUCACGAGGUCAGGAGAUCGAGACCAUCCUGGCUAACACGGUGAAACCCGAUCCCUACUAAAAAUACAAAAAAUUAGCCGGGCGUGGUGGCAGGCGCCUGUAGUCCCAGCUACUCGGGAGGCUGAGGCAGGAGAAUGGCGUGAACCCAGGAGGCAGAGGUUGCAGUGAGCCGAGAUCAUGCUACUGCACUCCAGCCUGGGCGACAGAGCGAGACUCUGUGUAUAAAUAAAUAAAUAAAUAAAUAAAUAACGAAAAGGUUGCCAUUGCCCUUUCUGGGGAAAGUGAUAAUGAGGAAAGACUAGUUUCUUAACCCAAGUCAGCUUUAGAGUCGGCAAGGAUGCAAUUUGAGGUGAUCCAGGAAAACUCUAUUAGCAUGGUAUUUCCCAUACAGAUUCAUUUCUUUUAGGCCUGAAGUCUUUUUGGCACUUCUUAAUAAAAUCACAGAUACCUCUUGGACAUGAAAGCUUAUCCUUUAUCAAUUUCUAUCAGUUAACCACUCAGAUGAGGAUAAAGGCCUGAGUCAGAAAGGACAGAGAGAGGUUCCACAAAGAGAUAAAAGAUGAGUGGCCAUAAGGAGUCCUUGAAAACACACCUCUCUAGCCCAUCAAAAAAUGCAGCACCUUAAACUCAAGUCCAUCUUACUAGCCUUUAGCAGUACCCCACCACUCUCAAAAUUUCCAGCAUUAAAUGUCUCGGAGCUAUAUAAAAGGCAGACUUAGGUAUAAGUAGGAAGAGAUAUCAAGGGCUUGGGUAUCAUUUCAGCACUAAUGGAGCUUAUGGCAUGUAUGAAUGAACCUGAUGCGUGGUCUCCACGGUAGAUUGUUACAAUUGAGGUCCCACAUUUAUGAGAUUCCCAGUGAAAACAAAUCUCACAGCUUCACCUGAGAGAAACAUUACUGUCAGUCUCAGAUACAAAAGCCUGCUGCUAUUAGGUACCUAUACACCUGCUGAAAAUGGACCAGCUUUGCUGUAGUAGUGCGCGCAGGCAAAAAAAAAAAAAAACAUAAAAAUAACCCGUUUCUCAACAAAUAAAAUUAAUUGGCAGUCAUCACAUUCCCAAGGGAUCAAGGGGUAAAAUCUUUGGCAGCAUAUUGCACAGUGGGCAGGGUGUUUUUGGCUUCAUAAAAGUGAUAAGAGGAGACAACAGGCUAUUCUCUGCUCUUAGAAAUUAUUAGCUCUUUACUAACAUUUAAGAAUCCAUGGGGAAAUUUUUGCUCUGAAUUUGUUAGAAUGUUUAAUAUUAUAACAAUAAUAUUUAAGAUGUUGGUUUGAAGGUGGGGCACGGUGGCUCACGCCUGUAAUCCCAGCACUUUGGGAGGCUGAAGCAGGUGGAUUACUUGAGGUCAGGAGUUUAAGACCAGCCUGGCCAAAUGGUGAAACCUCAUCUCUACUAAAAAUACAAAUAUUAGCCAGGUGUGGUGGUGCACACCUGUAAUCCCA